UGCCCGCUUCUUUGAUCCGUCGGUGUCCGCGCGUUGCUUUGGGACUACGACAUCAUGUGCCGCUGAUGGCGCCUACCGUCGCCACGUAAAGCCGGCGCACGACAGCGAGGGUCAGAGCCCGCACGGCCGGACCGCGACGCCACGGGCGCUCGUCAGGAGGAUGGCGUGAGGGAGGUGGGUGUCGCUCGCGGGCGGCGACGUGUUGGGCGUCCGGGGCCGGGGUCUCGCUGUCACGGAGAUCUCGGCGCUGGCCCUCGGAUUCGAGCACGAGAUUUUUCGUCCUCCUCCGUCCUCACGCUCGCGCAAACAGGAGGAGCCGAGCUUUUUCUCCGUUCAAUUCGAUGGUCCCUCGCGUCUACGAGUAGCUUUCAGGAGGGAGCCGGCCAAUGGCGCGACGGCAGCACCCCGCGGUGGACAGGACAGGACAGAGACAGACGUCUUGCUGUUGUACGGUACAACUUGUACCGACGGUGCUCGGCAGCGUCGGGUGCCAAGUGUUCGCCUCUGCGUUCAGCUCACAUGCUCGGCCGCUGGAGACAGCUCAACAACAUGAACAGGAGUAGUCGUACUACCGAGUUCAAGGAGUCCACACGAAACGAGCAUCCAAGGAAAAACAGCUAUGGAACAAUGUCGUGCAGAUCUGAUCACGCGCCUUCUUCACGUUGCUCCGCGAGAUUUAUUAAUAUGGUGGGUGACAAUCACGCACUCGUGAGGACCGAUGAGGCGAUGAGCUCACUUUACACACAUUUUAUUCUUCUAGCCUCCAAGAACACCAGUCACAGCGUGUUUGGUAACUUUUGGAAUGGGGAAUAGGAAUUCAGAGGGAGUUGUAAUGAGAUUAGACAUGAAUAAUGUAAUUUUAUUCCCAAUCCCUUGUUUGGUAUUAGAUGAGUUUUACAAGUGAGAAUUUAAGAAAGACUAGUUCGUUGCCCGUGCGUUGCCACGGAAAAACAACAAUUACUGAUGCAUUUUUAAAAAAAUCGAC
rnacentral:lncRNA from 1 species